UGCGUAGGCGGCUUCUUAAGUCUGGUGUGAAAGCCCAGGGCUCAGCUCUGGAAGUGCACUAGAAACUGAGGAGCUUGAGUACCGGAGGGGAGAGUGGAAUUCCUGGUGUAGCGGUGAAAUGCGUAGAUAUCAGGAGGAAUACCGGUGGCGAAAGCGACUCUCUGGACGGUGACUGACGCUGAGGCACGAAAGCGUGGGGAGCAAACA
rnacentral:rRNA from 1 species